GUGGAGGAGAGGGCGGGAUGGAGAAUCCCGGCUAGCAGCGUGGGAGCUGGCAGGGCUUCUGCAAGCCCUCUGCUCCCACCCUGGCCCCAUUUCACAGACGAGGAAACAAAGGCCCAAAGAAGAGUUCCGCCCGGGACGGAACGUGGCAUAGCUCGCAACAGAACCCAGUCUCCGGAGAUCCCUCUCCUCUGCACCACUUGGACGUUCCACGGAGAGGCAGCGGUGCGCGGGGCGACGGGGAGCUGCCAGAGAAGUCAGUGGUGGGCAUGAGUGGGUGAGACGGGCCCACUGAGGUUUCUGGGUGCCCACACUCCUGUUCUUUAGAAGAAAGGGACGGCAGGAGUCUGAUCAUCUGUCCGAUGCCCACACAGUGGCUGUGCUGAGUGACGUGUUGUUUUGAGGAUGUCCCUACCCCCUGGUCUUGCCGUCGGUCUCCAGUACCCAGCGAAGCAAGCUGUGGGCUCUGAGGAGCUCACACCAGGGAGGAGCUGCCCUGGAGUGGAGCAACAGCAUGUCCUCUCCCCUGUGUGACUGCAGUGCUAUAAUAAUAAUAACAGAAAGCUGGCAUUUCUUGAGCUCUUACUGUGUGCCAGAGACACCGCUCUAAGUGCUUACACAUAUGUAUUCGUUUUCUGUAGUUGCUGUAACAAAUUAUCACAAACUUUAAACAUUGAACUUAUGGCAUAAAGCAACACAAAUGUAUUAUCGUGUAGCUCUGUGGUAGGUUAGGAGUCUGACACAAGUCUCACUGGGCUAACAAUCCAGAUGUUGGGGCCAGGCGCGGUGGCUCACGCCUGUAAUCCCAGCACUUUGAGA
rnacentral:lncRNA from 1 species